CUCUGCCAGAUCUUUAAACAUACGGGUAUCCUUUCUUCUAAAUUGAAUCUUCUAAUAUAUAAUAUACCAUGUUGUGGGAGAUGUUGGUGUUUAAGAGGUCUGAUUAUUAAGUGUCGAAUUUCAGCUGGUUCAGUAACAAAAUUUCUCAUGUUUCAACAUCAAAACCUUUUACAUUUUUCAAGCCAUUUUUGUAUUACAAUUAUGCGUAAUUGUUGAAAUCGGCUGAAUUGCAACCAAAGACAAUCUAAUCCCCUUAAUUUGAUAAAUUCUUUUGAUAGAGAUCAGGGGUGCAGCGAUAACCCAACUAUGAAUUGUAGGUUAGUUGUCAGCAAAUUUGGAAAAUGUAGGACAAAGUUAAAUAAAAUAAAAUACAUUUCCACUAAAUUUCCAGUUGAUGAGCGUAUACCACUGCAGUGCAGUUUUUUUUUUU